GCCUGUUUUACAAAAACAUAGCCUAUAACUUAACUUUAGGUACAACCCUGCCCUCUGAAAUUUUAACAGCCGCGGUAUCCUAACCGUGCUAAGGUAGCAUAAUCAUUUGCCUAUUAAUUAUAGGCUAGCAUGAACGGGAUCACUCACUUAAAUUUAUUUUCACUACAAUUAAAAUUAAACUUUAAGUUAAAAUACUAAAUUUUUAAGAAAGACAAAAAGACCCUGAAAACUAUUAGAAGAUAAUUAGUUGGGGCAACUAUAGACCAUAAACAGCGUCUAUUAAAAUUCGAAUUUUAAAAUUCAAAGCACACAGUUACUUCAGGGAUAACAGACUAAUUGUAUUAUUUAGACCUAAUAAAUAAUAAAGAUUGGCACCUCGAUGUUGGCUUAUAAUUCCUUCAUAUAGUAACAUAUAUUGAUGGCAGCUGUCAUCUGAUAAAUAUUUACAUGAGCUGAGUUCAGACCGGCGUAAGC
rnacentral:rRNA from 1 species